rnacentral:rRNA from 1 species
UUUUUCGGAGAGUUUGAUCCUGGCUCAGGACGAACGCUGGCGGCGUGCCUAAUACAUGCAAGUCGAGCGGACAGAAGGGAGCUUGCUCCCGGAUGUUAGCGGCGGACGGGUGAGUAACACGUGGGUAACCUGCCUGUAAGACUGGGAUAACUCCGGGAAACCGGAGCUAAUACCGGAUAGUUGUUUGAACCGCAUGGUUCAAACAUAAAAGACGGUUUCGGCUGUCACUUACAGAUGGACCCGCGGCGCAUUAGCUAGUUGGUGAGGUAACGGCUCACCAAGGCGACGAUGCGUAGCCGACCUGAGAGGGUGAUCGGCCACACUGGGACUGAGACACGGCCCAGACUCCUACGGGAGGCAGCAGUAGGGAAUCUUCCGCAAUGGACGAAAGUCUGACGGAGCAACGCCGCGUGAGUGAUGAAGGUUUUCGGAUCGUAAAGCUCUGUUGUUAGGGAAGAACAAGU